AACGCGAAAGCGGGGCAACCCGCAAGUAGAGUGGCGAACGGGUGAGUAAUGCAUCGGAACAUAUCCAGUAGCGGGGGAUAACCUGUCGAAAGAUAGGCUAAUACCGCAUACGACCUACGGGUGAAAGCGGAGGACCGCAAGGCUUCGCACUAUUGGAGUGGCCGAUGUCGGAUUAGCUAGUUGGUGAGGUAAAAGCUCACCAAGGCGACGAUCCGUAGCUGGUCUGAGAGGACGACCAGCCACACUGGAACUGAGACACGGUCCAGACUCC
rnacentral:rRNA from 2 species